UGGCAGCAGGCAGUAGGCAAUGAUCCA
rnacentral:piRNA from 2 species